GAAGGUCCCCCACAUUGGAACUGAGACACGGUCCAAACUCCUACGGGAGGCAGCUAGUGAGGAAUAUUGGUCAAUGGGCGAGAGCCUGAACCAGCCAAGUAGCGUGAAGGAUGACUGCCCUAUGGGUUGUAAACUUCUUUUAUAAAGGAAUAAAGUCGGGUAUGGAUACCCACAUUUGCAUGUACUUUAUGAAUAAGGAUCGGCUAACU
rnacentral:rRNA from 1 species